GGGAGCAUCUGGAGGACAAGCACUUGUGCACGCUUUAUAUAUGUUAAUAUGGCUAGUAACAUAAAGUCAGCGCUUUCUAGGUCAAAAAAAGGUUUUUUGCCUGGAUAUAUAGAAAAUAUUCAGUGUAAGGAUAGUAAAGCGCGUUACAAAAUUAAAUUAGGACAUUGCAAUGGAGAUGAUCCGUACGAAAUACCAAAAAAUCAAUGGCUCGACGAUAUCGAUCUGUGGCCUGCUGUCAGCUACAUUCAUGUUGGCAUGUAUUUAUUAUUUUCGGUCAGUGCGUACACGAAAUAGCAGUUAAAAACUGUAAGAGUCUUGAUAGUUAUCAAAAUUUUGUGAAUGGAUGGGUGCGUGAAGUGUUGGUGAAAAAAUAUGACGAUCAUUGCUUGCUUAUAGCUCAAAGCAGCUUGUCGCACCAACAGAGAUUCACCUUCCAAGAGUCUGAUCACAAGCAUUUGCUAUCCAGAGCUGAAGAAAUUUUCAACUGCAGCAACAAGAUGGGGUUGUCAACAUGAAGAGGUGGCAAGAGACAAAUAUCGGAAAUGGGUAAACACAAACCAUGAAAAUGUUUCAGUAACAAACAGUGGAUUCUGGAUUCAUUUGACCCAUGAAUCUCUUGGUGCUUCUCAAGAUGGGCUUGUCUCUUGCCAAUGUUGUGGCAAUGGGAUUUGGGAAAUAAAGUGUCCAUUUUGCCAUAAAGAUGAGACAGUUGAAACUUCAACAGGUUAUGGCUCAGUUGUCAUGCACAGGUUUGAGCUACUGUGAUUUUGUUGUGUGGACAGAGAAAGACUUGUUUGUUGAACGAAUCUUGCAAAAUAACGAAUUUCUAGAAAGGAAGAUAGAGGCAGCAAAGAAAUUUGUGUUGAGGAGACUCCUUCCAGAGUUAACUGGAAAAUGGUACUGAAGACCCAAAAAAUUGAAUAAAUGAAAUAUAAUGAAUCAAAUGUCUUAUAAAUAUUAUUAGUACAAUUUUAAGUGUAUGCAUGCAAAA